rnacentral:rRNA from 1 species
CCCUUAGAUGUUCUGGGCCGCACGCGUGCUACACUGAGUGGAUCAGCGGGUCAGGUUGCGCGAAAGCGUUUCCUAAUCUUUAAAUCCGCUCGUGAUGGGGAUUGACGGUUGCAAUUUUCUGUCAUGAACGAGGAAUACCUUGUAAGCGCGGGUCAUCAUCCCGCGCUGAAUACGUCCCUGCCCUUUGUACACACCGCCCGUCGCUCCUACCGAUUGAGUGGUCCGGUGAAGCCUCGGGAUUGUGGCCAGUUCACUUUAUUGGGAGUUGGCUGUGAGAACUUGUCUAAACCUUAUCAUUUAGAGGAAGGUGAAGUCGUAACA